rnacentral:lncRNA from 1 species
AUGACCACCCAGGACCUCUGCAGAUCCCCAGGUGACCUUCCAGCUCCUGCCCUCCUGUUGAACACCUUCAGUGCCCAGGAGGGACAAAUGGUUUUGGUUCAGUGUGCCAUUGAUGGGCGUUCUCCUGUUACAAGAAUUGUCUUCUGCAAGGAUGGGGUGGAAAUGUCCAGCCUGAAGGCCAUUCAGGGGCAGCUGACCUACAACAUGAUCUUGAAUGUCUCACUGGGAAGCGCGGGCAAGUACACGUGUGGGUACCAGCUCAAGGACCAGAGCAACCAAGUGACGAACUCUGCCCUCAGUGUCCCCCAGGACUUGGCUGUCACAGGCAGCAGCCCCUCACACAAGGCCCAGCUCCCUUCCAGAGGGCCAGCCAUGCCCCUGGAGGUCUGGAUCCUGCGCUCUGCCCUCAGCCUGCUCCUGCUGCUGUCUGCCCCCAUC